CUUUGCUUGGUGGUGAGAGUGGCGAACGGGUGAGUAAUGCGUGACCGACCUGCCCCAUACACCGGAAUAGCUCCUGGAAACGGGUGGUAAUGCCGGAUGCUCCGACUCCUCGCAUGGGGUGUCGGGAAAGAUUUCAUCGGUAUGGGAUGGGGUCGCGUCCUAUCAGGUAGUCGGCGGGGUAACGGCCCACCGAGCCUACGACGGGUAGCCGGCCUGAGAGGGCGACCGGCCACAUUGGGACUGAGAUACGGCCCAGACUCCUACGGGAGGCAGCAGUGGGGAAUAUUGCACAAUGGGCGCAAGCCUGAUGCAGCGACGCCGCGUGCGGGAUGACGGCCUUCGGGUUGUAAACCGCUUUUGAUCGGGAGCAAGCCUUCGGGUGAGUGUACCUUUCGAAUAAGCACCGGCUAACUACGUGCCAGCAGCCGCGGUAAUACGUAGGGUGCAAGCGUUAUCCGGAAUUAUUGGGCGUAAAGGGCUCGUAGGCGGUUCGUCGCGUCCGGUGUGAAAGUCCAUCGCUUAACGGUGGAUCUGCGCCGGGUACGGGCGGGCUGGAGUGCGGUAGGGGAGACUGGAAUUCCCGGUGUAACGGUGGAAUGUGUAGAUAUCGGGAAGAACACCAAUGGCGAAGGCAGGUCUCUGGGCCGUUACUGACGCUGAGGAGCGAAAGCGUGGGGAGCGAACAGGAUUAGAUACCCUGGUAGUCCACGCCGUAAACGGUGGAUGCUGGAUGUGGGGCCCGUUCCACGGGUUCCGUGUCGGAGCUAACGCGUUAAGCAUCCCGCCUGGGGAGUACGGCCGCAAGGCUAAAACUCAAAGAAAUUGACGGGGGCCCGCACAAGCGGCGGAGCAUGCGGAUUAAUUCGAUGCAACGCGAAGAACCUUACCUGGGCUUGACAUGUUCCCGACAGCCGUAGAGAUAUGGCCUCCCUUCGGGGCGGGUUCACAGGUGGUGCAUGGUCGUCGUCAGCUCGUGUCGUGAGAUGUUGGGUUAAGUCCCGCAACGAGCGCAACCCUCGCCCUGUGUUGCCAGCACGUCAUGGUGGGAACUCACGGGGGACCGCCGGGGUCAACUCGGAGGAAGGUGGGGAUGACGUCAGAUCAUCAUGCCCCUUACGUCCAGGGCUUCACGCAUGCUACAAUGGCCGGUACAACGGGAUGCGACACGGCGACGUGGAGCGGAUCCCUGAAAACCGGUCUCAGUUCGGAUUGGAGUCUGCAACCCGACUCCAUGAAGGCGGAGUCGCUAGUAAUCGCGGAUCAGCAACGCCGCGGUGAAUGCGUUCCCGGGCCUUGUACACACCGCCCGUCAAGUCAUGAAAGUGGGUAGCACCCGAAGCCGGUGGCCUAACCCUUUGUGGAUGGAGCCGUCUAAGGUGAGACUCGUGAUUGGGACUAAGUCGUAACAAGGUAGCCGUACCGGAAGGUGCGGCUG
rnacentral:rRNA from 1 species